UAGGGAAUUUUGGGCAAUGGGCGAAAGCCUGACCCAGCAACGCCGCGUGUGGGAUGAAGGCCCUCGGGUCGUAAACCACUGUCAGGAGGAAAGAAAAGUCGGCCGGAUAAUACUCGGUCGACCUGACGGUACCUCCAAAGGAAGCACCGGCUAACUCCGUGCCAGCAGCCGCGGUAAUACGGAGGGUGCAAGCGUUGUUCGGAAUUACUGGGCGUAAAGCGCGUGUAGGUGGUCGAGUAAGUCGAAUGUGAAAGCCCCGGGCUCAACCCGGGAAGUGCGUCCGAAACUGCUCGACUAGAGUCCCGGAGAGGAAGGCAGAAUUCCCAAUGUAGGGGUGAAAUCCGUAGAUAUUGGGAGGAAUACCGGUGGCGAAGGCGGCCUUCUGGACGGUGACUGACACUCAGACGCGAAAGCGUGGGGAGCAAACAGGAUUAGAUACCCUCGUAGUCCCUGAGCGGGCUGGCAAGGCGCAU
rnacentral:rRNA from 1 species